UACGGGGGGGGCAAGCGUUGUUCGGAAUUACUGGGCGUAAAGGGCUCGUAGGUGGCCAAUUAAGUCAGACGUGAAAUCCCCAGGCUCAACCUGGGAACUGCGUCUGAUACUGGACGGCUUGAGUAUGGGAGAGGGAUGUAGAAUUCCAGGUGUAGCGGUGAAAUGCGUAGAUAUCUGGAGGAACACCGGUGGCGAAGGCGGCGUCCUGGACCAACACUGACACUGAGGAGCGAAAGCCAGGGGAGCAAACGGG
rnacentral:rRNA from 1 species